UACAGAGGGUGCGAGCGUUAAUCGGAAUUACUGGGCGUAAAGCGCACGUAGGCGGCUUCGUAAGUCGGAUGUGAAAUCCCCGGGCUCAACCUGGGAACUGCAUUCGAGACUGCGAUGCUCGAGUAUGGGAGAGGACAGCGGAAUUCCGGGUGUAGCGGUGAAAUGCGUAGAUAUCCGGAGGAACAUCAGUGGCGAAGGCGGCUGUCUGGCCCAAUACUGACGCUCAGGUGCGAAAGCGUGGGGAGCAAACAGGAUUAGAAACCCGAGUAGUCC
rnacentral:rRNA from 1 species